AGAUUGAACGCUGGCGGCAGGCCUAACACAUGCAAGUCGAGCGGCAGCACGGGUACUUGUACCUGGUGGCGAGCGGCGGACGGGUGAGUAAUGCCUAGGAAUCUGCCUGAUAGUGGGGGGAUAACGUUCGGAAACGGACGCUAAUACCGCAUACGUCCUACGGGAGAAAGUGGGGGAUCUUCGGACCUCACGCUAUCAGAUGAGCCUAGGUCGGAUUAGCUAGUUGGUAGGGUAAAGGCCUACCAAGGCUACGAUCCGUAACUGGUCUGAGAGGAUGAUCAGUCACACUGGAACUGAGACACGGUCCAGACUCCUACGGGAGGCAGCAGUGGGGGAAUAUUGGACAAUGGGCGAAAGCCUGAUCCAGCCAUGCCGCGUGUGUGAAGAAGGUCUUCGGAUUGUAAAGCACUUUAAGUUGGGAGAAGGGCAAUUAACCUAAUACGUUAGUGUUUUUGACGUUUACGACAGAAUAAGCACCGGCUAACUCUGUGCCAGCAGCCGCGGUAA
rnacentral:rRNA from 1 species